rnacentral:lncRNA from 1 species
CAUAAGAGCAGUUGCCGUAGUCACUGGAGUGUUGUUUUCAAACAUUCUAUUCAGUGACUCUCUUCAAAGUCCAAAGAGUGUCUUCUAUGACACUCAAGUUAUAACAACGAUAAACAGAUUCAAAAUAGGCAAACACACAACAUGAGACCUUGACUAGACUGAUUUUGCUGACUUUUGUUGAAAGUUAGAUUUGGCUGAUCACUUCCUGUGAGCAGCCUGGGCACCAGUUUGAUCCUGGAAUUCAGCCUGGAGGAGCUCACUCAGACAGCUUCCUGACUCAGACAGGUCUCAUGUGUGAAAGAGUGGGCAGUCCUGGAGUGGAGCAUCAGGCUGUGAUUGGUAGACAUAAAAAUUUAGGGGAAGUGACACAAGAGAAAAAGGUCUUUAAAAGUGGAAACAGAGACACACACAGACACUUGGAGUGA